AUGAAAGACUCCGAUCUUACUGGGGAUUCAUCACUGGCUAGGGCUUUCGAAUCAAAGCAUGGGCAUCUGCAACUAAGAGGGAACAGUAGAUCGUCGAUUGAAGAGCCAGGGAUUCUUAUCUUUCCCCA